rnacentral:rRNA from 1 species
AUCUACGGCCAUGCCACCCUGAACAAGCCCGGUUCCAUCUGAUCUCGGAAGCUAAGCAGGGUCGGGCCUGGUUAGUACUUGGAUGGGAGACCACCUAGGAAGACCAGGUGCUGUAGGCG